CUGUGAAAGAGGAAACCUAGACUGAAAAAUUGCCUCUGUAAGAUUAGCCGGAUGUCUGCAAGGUGCUUUCUUAAUUCAGGAUGAUAUGGUUGCACAUACAAUUCACGCAAAGCCAUUAAUCUGUCUGGAGAAAUAGCUCAUGGGAUGAGAAGACAGAAAAGAGGUUCUGUGGUAGGAAAUGACUUGUAACUAAAGGAUUAUUCAACCUUGCCUAGUUAUUAGCUCUGUUUACAAGUUUAUCAGGAUUAAUGGAUAAGAAUAUGAUUAAAUCAGCAUUCCAGUUUCCAUCUGGUCCGCCAUAGGACUCCAUAUCUAACAGAGCUGGCAGAGAGCUAGCCUCCCAGGAGUGCAGACAAGCCUGUGGGCGCAGGCAAGAAACACCACUUCUGCUCAGAGGCCAGAAUCGUCAGGACAGAGGAACCAAAGGGAGACUUCUGGUUUCUGUCUGGUCCAGAAUUUAUCCUCUGUCACCAGGCUCCAUACCCAAAUAGCAUCUGGACAGAGCUAGGCUGCCAGGAGUGCAGACAAGCCUGUGAGCCCAGGUAAAACCACCAUUGCUACUCAGAGGGACGCUCCUGGAACCCUCAGGACACAGGAACCUAGGAGCAACCUGGGACAGGAGCCUUCCAGUUUCUGUCUGAGCCCUGAGCUGAUCCUGUGCCACAGCACUACUGCACUACGUACACAAAAACCACCAGGAGAGAGCUGUUCUCCCUGGAGAGCUGACACACCUGCGAGCACAAGUAAGACCACACCUUCUAUACAAAUUCCCAGACCAAGAGGGACACUCCUAGAGUGACCAGGACACAGGAACCAAGGAACAGCUGGAGACAGGAUCCUUCUGGUUUCUGUCUGCACCCUAGAGCUCACCCUGUACCACAGUUUUUCAUAUUCAAAUUUCUCCUGGAGAUACCUGGUCUCCCAGGAGUACUGACACAGAGUGUUGCAGGAGGGACAAGCCACAGUCAGAGACAGCACGAGCAGCUAACACCAGAGAUAAUCAGAUGGCAAAAGGCAAGGGCAUGAACAUAAGCAACAGAAACCAAGGCUAUUUGGCAUCAUCAGAACCCAGUUCUCCUACCACAGUGAGCACUGGAUAUCCCAAUACACCAGAAAAGCAAGACUCUGAUUUAAAAUUACAUCUCAUGAGGACUUUAAGAAGGACAUAAAUAUCUUCCUUAAGGAAAUGCAAAAUAUUUGAUCUUAGUCAGAAUGGCUAAUAUUAAAAACUCAGGUGACAGCAGACGUUGGCAAAGAUGUGGAGAAAGAGGAAGACUCCUUUCUCCAUUGUUGGUGGGAUUACAAGCUUGUACAACCACUCUGGAAGUCAGUCUGGUCGUUCCUCAGAAAAUUGAAGAUAGUAUUAUCUGAGGACCCAGCUAUACCACUCCUGAGUAUGUACCUAAAGGAUUCUCCAACAUAUAAAAAGGACUCAUGCUCCACUAUGUUCAUAGAAGCCUUAUUUAUAAUAGCUAAAAGCUGGAAAGAACUCAGAUGUCUUUCAACAAAAGAAUGGAUACAGAAAAUGUGGUACAUUUACACAAUGGAGUACUACUCAGCUAUUAAAAAUGAUGAAUUCAUGAAAUUCUUAGGCAAAUGGAAGGAUCUAGAAAAUAUCAUCCUGAGUAAGGUAACUGAAUCACAAAAGAACACACAUGGUAUGCACUCACUGAUAAUUGGAUAUAAGUCCAAAAGCUCUGAGUACCCAAGAUACAAUUCACAGACCACAUGAAGCUCAAGAAGAAGAAACAACAAAGUGUGGGUGCUUCCAUCCUUCUUAGAAGGGGGAACAAAAUACUCAUGGGAGCAAAUAUGGAGUGAGACAAAGUGUAGAGCAGAGACUGAAGGAAAGGCAAUCCAGAGAUUGUCCCACCUGGGGAUUCAUCCCAGAUACAGUCACCAAACUCCAACAACAUUGUGGAUGUUAAGCAAUGCUUGUUGAAAGGUGCCUGAUAUGGCUGUCUCCUGAGAGGCCCUGCCAGAGCCUUGCAAGUACAGAGGUGGAGGCUCACAGCCAAUCAUUGGACUGUGCAUGGGGUCCCCAAUAAAAGAGUUAGAGACUGGACUGAAGGAGCUGAAGGAGCUUGCAACCCCAUAGGAAGAACAACAAAGUCAACCAACCAGACCUCCCAGAGCUCCCAGGGACUAAACCAUCAACCUAGGAGUACACAUGGCUCUGGCUGCAUAUGUAGCAGAGGAUAGCCUUGUCAGGCAUUAAUGGGAGGAGAGGUCCUUGUUCCUAUGAAGGCUCGAUAGAUGACCCAGUGUAGGGGAAUAGAGGGCGGGGAGGUGAGAGUAGGUGGA